rnacentral:rRNA from 1 species
CUUGCUGCAUGCUUUAUACAUGCAAGUCGAACGGAGGCCCUAGCUUGCUAGGUGUCCUUAGUGGCGCACGGGUGAGUAACACGUGGGAACAUACCUCAUAGUACGGAAUAACUGCGGGAAACUGUAGCUAAUACCGUAUAUUCCAGCAAUGGGAAAGAUUUAUCGCUAUGAGAUUGGCCCGCGCAAGAUUAGUUUGUUGGUAAGGUAAUGGCUUACCAAGGCUACGAUCUUUAGCUGGUUUGAGAGGAUGAUCAGCCACACUGGGACUGAGACACGGCCCAGACUCCUACGGGAGGCAGCAGUAGGGAAUAUUGGACAAUGGGGGAAACCCUGAUCCAGCAAUGCAGCGUGAGUGACGAAGGCCUUAGGGUUGUAAAACUCUUUCAUCGGUGAGGAUAAUGACAGUAGCCGAAGAAGAAGGACCGGCUAAUUCCGUGCCAGCAGCCGCGGUAAUACGGAAGGUCCUAGCGUUGUUCGGAAUUACUGGGCGUAAAGCGCAUGUAGGCGGAACAGAAAGUUAGAAGUGAAAUCCCUGGGCUCAACCUAGGAAUUGCUUUUAAAACUUCUGUUCUGGAAUUCAGGAGAGGAAAAUGGAAUAUCCAGUGUAGAGGUGAAAUUCGUAGAUAUUGGAUGGAACACCAGUGGCGAAGGCGAUUUUCUGGACUGAUAUUGACGCUGAGAUGCGAAGGCAUGGGUAGCAAACGGGAUUAGAUACCCCGGUAGUCCAUGCAGUAAACGAUGGGUGCUAGUCGUCGGACUUAUGUUCGGUGUCGUAGCUAACGCGUUAAGCACCCCGCCUGGGGAGUACGGUCGCAAGAUUAAAACUC